rnacentral:rRNA from 1 species
GACGGAGGAUGCAAGUGUUAUCCGGAAUCACUGGGCGUAAAGCGUCUGUAGGUGGUUCGAAAAGUCCACUGUUAAAAAUUGAAGCUUAACUUCAAAGAUGCCGUGGAAACCUUCAAACUAGAGUGUGGUAGGGGUAGAGGGAAUUUCCAGUGGAGCGGUGAAAUGCGUAGAUAUUGGAAAGACCACCGAUGGCGAAGGCACUCUACUGGGCCAUUACUGACACUGAGAGACGAAAGCUAGGGGAGCGAACGGG